AAAUGAAUAGACGGGGACCCGCACAAGCGGUGGAGCAUGUGGUUUAAUUCGAAGCAACGCGAAGAACCUUACCUGCCCUUGACAUCCGGCUGACCGGCGAGUAAUGUCGCCUUUCCUUCGGGACAGCCGAGACAGGUGGUGCAUGGUUGUCGUCAGCUCGUGUCGUGAGAUGUUGGGUUAAGUCCCGCAACGAGCGCAACCCUUAUCUUUAGUAGCCAGCAUUAUGGAUGGGCACUCUAGAGAGACUGCCAGGGAUAACCUGGAGGAAGGUGGGGAUGACGUCAAAUCAUCAUGCCCCUUAUGGGCAGGGCUACACACGUGCUACAAUGGCGUAAACAAAGGGAGGCGAGCCUGCGAAGGUAAGCAAAUCCCAAAAAUAACGUCUCAGUUCGGAUUGUAGUCUGCAACUCGACUACAUGAAGCUGGAAUCGCUAGUAAUCGCGAAUCAGAAUGUCGCGGUGAAUACGUUCCCGGGUCUUGUACACACCGCCCGU
rnacentral:rRNA from 1 species